UUUCAGCUACAUUCGCUACUCAAGUGUAUGUGCCAGAGCAGUCCGAAGUGCCCUGAAGCCAGAAUUGAGGCAAGAAGCAAGUAAACGAGGAGAUGCAACUAUAAUUAAAGCAACCAAAUUUGAGGGCGGAAAGCCAGUUGCCAAGACAGCCACUGCAUCAUGAUGAGAAUGACUGGUCAAUGAUGGAUGUGUGAUAGCAAUUUAAUAAAUAACAUCUACAUAGGAAAUUUGUGCUUAUUUUGUAAAUUUAUCAAUUAUUAAAACAGUGUGAAAAACUUCUAAAA